UAACUGUCUAUUUAUGAAACCUCUACUAUACUGACUGUAGUCGGCUGGGACAUGCCUCCAAAUACCAUAAAUCAAUACAUAAGAAUGAUAACAAUACAGUACAUGAACUACAACUGACUGGAGUUCCCAAAAUAAGAGAACUCAUCACCUGCUGGCUAAAAGUUGAGAACUGUCAAACCCUGGAGUAUAAGCUACAUCUGGUACCU
rnacentral:lncRNA from 1 species